GGGCCGGUAGCUCAGUUGGGAGAGCACAACGCUGGCAGCGUUGGGGUCGCAGGUUCGAUCCCUGUUCGGUCCACCA
rnacentral:tRNA from 1 species